rnacentral:rRNA from 1 species
CAGGCCUAACACAUGCAAGUCGAGGGGUAACAGAGAAGCUUGCUUCUGCUGACGACCGGCGCACGGGUGCGUAACGCGUAUGCAACCUACCUCAUACUGGAGCAUAGCCCUUGGAAACGAGGAUUAAUACUCCAUGGUAUCAUUCUUUCGCAUGUUAGAAUGAUUAAAGAAUUUCGGUAUGAGAUGGGCAUGCGUCCCAUUAGCUAGUUGGUGAGGUAACGGCUCACCAAGGCAACGAUGGGUAGGGGGCCUGAGAGGGUGGUCCCCCACACUGGUACUGAGACACGGACCAGACUCCUACGGGAGGCAGCAGUGAGGAAUAUUGGUCAAUGGAGGCAACUCUGAACCAGCCAUGCCGCGUGAAGGAUGACGGCCCUAUGGGUUGUAAACUUCUUUUAUAUGGGAAGAAACUUAUCUACGUGUAGAUAACUGACGGUACCAUACGAAUAAGGAUCGGCUAACUCCGUGCCAGCAGCCGCGGUAAUACGGAGGAUCCAAGCGUUAUCCGGAUUCAUUGGGUUUAAAGGGUCCGUAGGCGGAUUUUUAAAUCAGUGGUGAAAGCCGACAGCUCAACUGUCGAACUGCCAUUGAUACUGGAAAUCUUGAGUACAAAUGAAGUAGGCGGAAUGAGUCAUGUAGCGGUGAAAUG